rnacentral:sRNA from 1 species
GUUUUACCCAAUACCCGGCCUGCGCUCCAGACGAUUAUUAUCAGAAUAGCGUGGGUUUCCAUUUUCCCUGGUGUUGGCGCAGUAUUCGCGCACCCCGGCCUCGGU